GAUUGCCGAGCUCCUCCUGAGAUCUGUGUUCCCUUUCCCUGCUGAGGACAGAGGAACGUCGUGCAGGACAGUUGGGACCAUCAGAUGGAGAGACGUGCUGCAAGUGAAGAAAUGCAGAUGUGACAUGCUCGACAUCCCACACGGCUGUUUCACAUCCCUGUGAGGUAUCACACUUCCUUUCCUCUCCAGGCCGCUGGAGAAAUGACAAUGUUGAACAGGAACACUGCUUUCUGUUUGAAUUGCAG
rnacentral:lncRNA from 1 species